rnacentral:tRNA from 1 species
GCCUUUCUAGUACAAAGUUAGUAUAGGUGACUUCCAAUCAUCUGGUCUUGGUUAGACCCCAAGGAAAGACA